rnacentral:rRNA from 1 species
AACGAACGCUGGCGGCGUGUCUUAAGCAUGCAAGUCGUGCGGCAAGGCGGGGCAACCUGCCCUAGAGCGGCGGACUGGUGAGUAACGCGUGGGUGAUCUGCCCUUGGGAUGGGGAUAGCCAUUAGAAAUAGUGGGUAAUACCGAAUACGUUCACUAAGCCACGGCUUAGUGAGGAAAAGCGCUUACGGGCGCUGCCCCGAGGAUGAGCCCGCGUCCCAUUAGCUAGUUGGUGAGGUAAGAGCCCACCAAGGCGAUGAUGGGUAGCCGGCCUGAGAGGGUGUACGGCCACACUGGGACUGAGAUACGGCCCAGACUCCUACGGGAAGCAG